rnacentral:rRNA from 1 species
AUGAAAGAUCUGGGCGAAGCCGAUGUAAUUCUAAACAUCAAACUUAUUAAGGAUGAGAGUGAGAUUACAUUAACUCAAUCUCACUAUGUUGAGAAGGUCUUGAACCGAUUCGGAUUUAUGGAUAGCAAGCCUUCUCCAACACCUUAUGAUCCCAGCGUGACACUCAGAAAGAACAAGAAAGAAACGAGAGAUCAAUUAAGAUACUCUCAAAUUGUCGGUUCACUCAUGUACUUAGCUAGCGCUACAAGACCAGAUAUCUCUUUUGCUGUGAGCAAACUGAGUAGGUUCAUGUCCAACCCGGGUGAUGAUCAUUGGCAUGCACUAGAAAGGGUCUUGCGCUAUCUGAGAGGUACUAUGAGUUAUGGAAUUACUUAUUCAGGGCAUCCUGCUGUGCUAGAAGGAUAUAGUGAUUCAAAUUGGAUCUCCGAUGUUGAUGUACUUUAUGCAACAAGUGGGUAUGUAUUUACUCAUGGUGGUGGCGCAGUGUCAUGGAGGUCUUGCAAGCAAACCAUAUUGACGAGGUCAACUAUGGAAGCAGAAUUAACUGCUUUGGACACAGCUAUUGUUGAGGCAGAAUGGCUGCGUGAGCUCUUGAUGGACUUGCCGGUUGUUGAAAAACCUGUACCGGCUAUUCUUAUGAAUUGUGAUAACCAAACGGUUAUCGCUAAAGUGAACAAUUCUAAAGAUAAUGCAAAGUCAUCAAGACACGUGAAAAGACGUUUGAAGUCUGUCAGGAAGUUGAGAAACUCUGGAGUAAUAAUUGUUACGUAUAUACAAACAGACAAAAACCUGGCAGAUCCCUUUACAAAGGGACUAUCACGAAAUGUGAUAGAUAUUGCAUCGAGGGAGAUGGGUAUGAGACCCAUAGCAGUCUUGAAAGAACACACCUAUAUGAGUUCUGACUGUAAACGUCGCAGUCUAUGA